rnacentral:rRNA from 1 species
GACGAACGCUGGCGGCGUGCUUAACACAUGCAAGUCGAACGAUGAAGCCUAGCUUGCUAGGUGGAUUAGUGGCGAACGGGUGAGUAAUACGUGAGUAACCUACCUUUAACUCUGGGAUAAGCCCGGGAAACUGGGUCUAAUACCGGAUACGACCAAUCUCCGCAUGGGGUGUGGGUGGAAAGCGUUAUGUAGUGGUUAUAGAUGGGCUCACGGCCUAUCAGCUUGUUGGUGAGGUAACGGCUCACCAAGGCGACGACGGGUAGCCGGCCUGAGAGGGUGACCGGCCACACUGGGACUGAGACACGGCCCAGACUCCUACGGGAGGCAGCAGUGGGGAAUAUUGCACAAUGGGCGCAAGCCUGAUGCAGCGACGCCGCGUGAGGGAUGACGGCCUUCGGGUUGUAAACCUCUGUUAGCAGGGAAGAAGAGAGAUUGACGGUACCUGCAGAGAAAGCGCCGGCUAACUACGUG